UACAGGGGGGGGCAAGCGUUGUUCGGAAUUACCGGGCGUAAAGGGCUCGUAGGUGGCCAACUAAGUCAGACGUGAAAUCCCUCAGCUUAACUGGGGAACUGCGUCUGAUACUGGAUGGCUUGAGUUUGGGAGAGGGAUGCGGAAUUCCAGGUGUAGCGGUGAAAUGCGUAGAUAUCUGGAGGAACACCGGUGGCGAAGGCGGCAUCCUGGACCGGUAUUGACGCUGAUGAGCGAAAGCCAGGGGAGCAAACGGG
rnacentral:rRNA from 1 species